GACGAACGCUGGCGGCGUGCUUAACACAUGCAAGUCGAACGGAAAGGCCCUGCUCUUGUGGGGUGCUCGAGUGGCGAACGGGUGAGUAACACGUGAGUAACCUGCCCUUGACUUUGGGAUAACUUCAGGAAACUGGGGCUAAUACCGGAUAGGAGCUCCUGCUGCAUGGGGGGGGUUGGAAAGUUUCGGCGGUUGGGGAUGGACUCGCGGGUUAUCAGCUUGUUGGUGGGGUAGUGGCUUACCAAGCGUUUGACGGGUAGCCGGCCUGGGAGGGUUACCGGCGACAUGGGGCCUGCGAGACGGCCCAGACUCCUACGGGAGGCAGCAGGGGGGAAUAUUACACAGUAGGCGGAAGCCUGAUGCAGCAACGUCGCGUGCGGGAUGACGGCCUUCGGGUUAUAAACCGCUUUCGCCUGUGACGAAGAGUGAGUGACGGUAAUGGGUAAAGAAGCACCGGCUAACUACGUG
rnacentral:rRNA from 1 species